rnacentral:rRNA from 1 species
GUUAAGCGACUAAGCGUACACGGUGGAUGCCCUGGCAGUCAGAGGCGAUGAAGGACGUGCUAAUCUGCGAUAAGCGUCGGUAAGGUGAUAUGAACCGUUAUAACCGGCGAUUUCCGAAUGGGGAAACCCAGUGUGUUUCGACACACUAUCAUUAACUGAAUCCAUAGGUUAAUGAGGCGAACCGGGGGAACUGAAACAUCUAAGUACCCCGAGGAAAAGAAAUCAACCGAGAUUCCCCCAGUAGCGGCGAGCGAACGGGGAGCAGCCCAGAGCCUGAAUCAGUGUGUGUGUUAGUGGAAGCGUCUGGAAAGGCGCGCGAUACAGGGUGACAGCCCCGUACACAA